GACGAACGCUGGCGGCGUGCUUAACACAUGCAAGUCGAACGAAGUGGCGAACGGGUGAGUAACGCGUAAUCAACCUGCCCUUCAGAGGGGGACAACAGUUGGAAACGACUGCUAAUACCGCAUACUGAAGGAGGGGAUUGCGUCUGAUUCGCUAGGUGGAGGGGUAAAGGCCCACCAAGGCGAAGAUCAGUAGGCGGUUUGAAGGGAUGAACUGCCAACUGUGGACGGAGAGAAGGGCCAGAAGUCGUAGGGGGGCAGCAGUGGGGAAUGAUACGGAAAGGGGGAAAGUCGGACGGAGCACAGGCGGGUGGGUGAUGAGGGCCUUCGGGUUGGAAAGCUCCGUUAAUCGGGACGCGGGACCGUCAUAGAAAGCAACGGCUAACUACGUGCCAGCAGCCGCGGUAAUAC
rnacentral:rRNA from 1 species